rnacentral:misc_RNA from 1 species
GCCAUGUUGAAGCAAUCCAAGGUAAAUACUUCAGAAAUUCAUGGCUAAAUAGUUAUACCCUGUGUAAAUGAAACAUGCUACUUGCUCAAGACGUGUUCAUCCAAUCAUACUGUGAUGGAAGGUCAACUAUGUACACGUAGGUACAUGUGUAAUAUCUGUAUAUUCCUAAUUAGUUUAGAUUCUAGGGCUUAAUUAUAGGAAUUUAUAUUCUUAAAUAGGACAUAUAAUUGUAGUAUGUAUUUGUAUGAUUCUAUCAAGAUGAUUAUGAAUGAUAUACAGAAUUUUUCAGUACAUUUACCAAGCCAACAAACCAAACCAAACAGGCCUUACUUGUUUGAUUAGAAAAUUUAGUUCAGUGUUGUUUGACAUUUCUGAAUAUCAGUGUAACCUGAACCGAUACAAAGCAAUAAGAAAUAUGUGAGAUUGUGUGUGUAUGUGCAUAAUAUUGCUGUUUUAUCAUCUACUAUACUUUUCAACAACCAGUUAUCUUUGAUAAGGACAAAUAGAGACAUUUAUGCAUACUUUUUUUUUUCAAUCGGUUAAGGUCUGAAAUGUUUUAACUGAUUUUGACCAAUCUGACAUGAAUUCCCCUACAAACUGCAUUAAACCAACCUGUUAAUAUGCCUAGUUUGCCCCUUGAUAAUAGUUGAACUUGCUAUUUUAAUUGUAGAUAUUUAAUCAGAUUGAAAUAUUACCACCUAUUGCAUUGUGGAGUUAUACAAGGCUGAAUUGUCACAACUAAGACAUUGAUAUUAAAAAUAAUAACAAUAAUUAAAAAAAAAAAAAAAAA